rnacentral:rRNA from 1 species
CUUGACGACCAUAGAGCAUUCGAACCACCUGAUCCCAUCCCGAACUCAGCAGUGAAACGAUGCAUCGCCGAUGGUAGUGUGGGGUUUCCCCAUGUGAGAGUAGGUCAUCGUCAAGA